GGCCAAUAUCAGUGAGGCACAGACAAAGGAGGCCCUUUCCAGGGGCUGUGUGUUUCAGCUCUCUGAAUUUUGACCUGAGGGCACUCAGCAGAGCAGUGCUGGCUGCCUCUGCCACCCUGGGCUGCACGUCAGGGAUGCUCCAACACCUCACAACUGCCAUUGCCUCUGCUUCAGCCUUGGCCCUUUGGAUAAAGACCCCAUAAUGGCUGACUGAGCAGGUGUAAAACAGUGGAACAGACACAUGUCUGCUUAGAAAUAUGUCAAGAAUGGGUAAAGAGAACUCCUCAGAGUGUGUGGACAGACAAUUUAAAGACUAUAAAAUUAAUCUUUAUUAAACAUAACCUGCAGUGAACAGACACAGUGAACUAAAAUAGAAACAUAACAGGAGAAGCUAUGAAGGAGAGGGCUAUAAGAAAACAGCAUGGAAUUACACAUUCACUGUAAUUUGCAGAGUAGCAAGGAAGUUUAGUGUUAAUACCAAAUAAACCUGCAGACACAGAUGUGCCCAGCAGUCAGAAAUUCAUAUCUGUGCUAUCUCAGCAGCUUCUCCAACAGUCAACAUUGUUUCCUGCUCUUUCACUAUUUUUUAAAAAUAUUCUUAAAGUAUUACAUAUCAAAAUAGUAAUCUUCUCUAGAAGGUGUGUGGGACCAUAUGGUUUUAAAGUUAAAAUGGUAGUUGAGAUGUUG